rnacentral:tRNA from 1 species
AGGGUUGUGGUUCAGUGGUAGAUCUCCUGCUUGGCAUGCAGAAAGGCACCAGUUCAAACCCUGGCAUCUCCA